UCGAACGGUAAGUCCCUGCUUGCAGGGAACACAAGUGGCGCACGGGUGCGUAACGCGUACGCAACCUACCUUCAACAGAGGAAUAGCCCCGAGAAAUCGGGAUUAAUACUUCAUAAUAAUAAGUUUUGGCAUCAUUACUUAUUUAAAGCUCCGGCGGUUGAAGAUGGGCAUGCGUGACAUUAGAUAGUUGGUGAGGUAACGGCUCACCAAGUCUUCGAUGUCUAGGGGUUCUGAGAGGAUUAUCCCCCACACUGGUACUGAGACACGGACCAGACUCC
rnacentral:rRNA from 1 species